GACGAACGCUGGCGGCGUGCUUAACACAUGCAAGUCGAACGGAAAGGCCCUGCUUUUGUGGGGUGCUCGAGUGGCGAACGGGUGAGUAACACGUGAGUAACCUGCCCUUGACUUUGGGAUAACUUCAGGAAACUGGGGCUAAUACCGGCUAGGAGCUCCUGCUGCAUGGUGGGGGUUGGAAAGUUUCGGCGGUUGGGGAUGGACUCGCGGCUUAUCAGCUUGUUGGUGGGGUAGUGGCUUACCAAGGCUUUGACGGGUAGCCGGCCUGAGAGGGUGACCGGCCACAUUGGGACUGAGAGACGGCCCAGACUCCUACGGGAGGCAGAAGUGGGGAAUAUUGCACAAUGGGCGGAAGCCUGAUGCAGCAACGCCGCGUGCGGGAUGACGGCCUUCGGGGGGUAAACCGCUUUCGCCUGUGACGAAGCGUGAGUGACGGUAAUGGGUAAAGAAGCACCGGCUAACUACGUG
rnacentral:rRNA from 1 species